AUGAACGCUAGCUACAGGCUUAACACAUGCAAGUCGAGGGGCAGCAUGAACUUAGCUUGCUAAGUUUGAUGGCGACCGGCGCACGGGUGAGUAACACGUAUCCAACCUGCCGAUGACUCGGGGAUAGCCUUUCGAAAGAAAGAUUAAUACCCGAUGGCAUAGUUCUUCCGCAUGGUAGAACUAUUAAAGAAUUUCGGUCAUCGAUGGGGAUGCGUUCCAUUAGGUUGUUGGCGGGGUAACGGCCCACCAAGCCUUCGAUGGAUAGGGGUUCUGAGAGGAAGGUCCCCCACAUUGGAACUGAGACACGGUCCAAACUCCUACGGGAGGCAGCAGUGAGGAAUAUUGGUCAAUGGACGAGAGUCUGAACCAGCCAAGUAGCGUGAAGGAUGACUGCCCUAUGGGUUGUAAACUUCUUUUAUACGGGAAUAAAGUGAGGCACGUGUGCCUUUUUGUAUGUACCGUAUGAAUAAGGAUCGGCUAACUCCGUGCCAGCAGCCGCGGUAAUACGGAGGAUCCGAGCGUUAUCCGGAUUUAUUGGGUUUAAAGGGAGCGUAGGCGGACGCUUAAGUCAGUUGUGAAAGUUUGCGGCUCAACCGUAAAAUUGCAGUUGAUACUGGGUGUCUUGAGUACAGUAGAGGCAGGCGGAAUUCGUGGUGUAGCGGUGAAAUGCUUAGAUAUCACGAAGAACUCCGAUUGCGAAGGCAGCUUGCUGGACUGUAACUGACGCUGAUGCUCGAAAGUGUGGGUAUCAAACAGGAUUAGAUACCCUGGUAGUCCACGCCGUAAACGAUGAAUACUAGGUGUGGGGGGACUGACCCCUUCCGUGCCGCAGUUAACACAAUAAGUAUUCCACCUGGGGAGUACGACCGCAAGGUUGAAACUCAAAGGAAUUGACGGGGGCCCGCACAAGCGGAGGAACAUGUGGUUUAAUUCGAUGAUACGCGAGGAACCUUACCCGGGCUUGAAUUGCAACUGAAUGAUGUGGAGACAUGUCAGCCGCAAGGCAGUUGUGAAGGUGCUGCAUGGUUGUCGUCAGCUCGUGCCGUGAGGUGUCGGCUUAAGUGCCAUAACGAGCGCAACCCUUAUCGAUAGUUACCAUCAGGUUAUGCUGGGGACUCUGUCGAGACUGCCGUCGUAAGAUGUGAGGAAGGUGGGGAUGACGUCAAAUCAGCACGGCCCUUACGUCCGGGGCUACACACGUGUUACAAUGGGGGGUACAGAAGGCAGCUACGCGGCGACGUGAUGCUAAUCCCGAAAGCCUCUCUCAGUUCGGAUUGGAGUCUGCAACCCGACUCCAUGAAGCUGGAUUCGCUAGUAAUCGCGCAUCAGCCACGGCGCGGUGAAUACGUUCCCGGGCCUUGUACACACCGCCCGUCACACCACGGGAGUUGGGAGUACCCGAAGUAGGUUGCCUAACCGCAAGGAGGGCGCUUCCUAAGGUAAGACCGAUGACUGGGGUG
rnacentral:rRNA from 1 species